CCUACGGGAGGCAGCAGUGGGGGAUAUUGGACAAUGGGGGAAACCCUGAUCCAGCGACGCCGCGUGAGUGAAGAAGUAUUUCGGUAUGUAAAGCUCUGUCAGCAGGGAAGAAAGAAAUGACGGUACCUGACCAAGAAGCCCCGGCUAACUACGUGCCAGCAGCCGCGGUAAUACGUAGGGGGCAAGCGUUAUCCGGAAUUACUGGGUGUAAAGGGAGCGUAGACGGAAAGGCAAGUCAGGAGUGAAAACCCGGGGCUCAACCACGGGACUGCUUUUGAAACUGUCGAACUAGAGUACGGGAGAGGUAAGAGGAAUUCCUAGUGUAGCGGUGAAAUGCGUAGAUAUUAGGAGGAACACCAGUGGCGAAGGCGGCUUACUGGACUGAAACUGACGUUGAGGCUCGAAAGCGUGGGGAGCAAACAGGAUUAGAUACCCCAGUAGUC
rnacentral:rRNA from 1 species